rnacentral:rRNA from 1 species
UACGGAGGGGGCAAGCGUUGUUCGGAAUUACUGGGCGUAAAGGGCGCGUAGGCGGUCAGCACAAGUCAGUGUGAAUCUACUGACGCUUAACUCGGAAAGGUCAACUGAUACUGUGCGACUAGAGUGCGGAAGGGGCAACUUGGAAUUCUUGGUGUAGCGGUGAAAUGCGUAGAUAUCAAGAGGAACACCUGCGGCGAAGGCGGUGGUCUGGGCCGGCACUGACGCUGAGGAGCGAAAGCGUGGGGAGCGAACAGG